GUUAGAUUAAUUUAAAAUAUAAGAAUAUUAAGUUGUGGUCUUAAAAGUAAGAAAGUUCUUAUCUAACA
rnacentral:tRNA from 1 species